CUCUAUUCUUAAAGACAGUUAAGACAACAGACAGUGCGAGACUGAAAACAACUUUGGAACAGGAAUGUCUUUAUUCAGAUUUCUUUCUAUAUGAAUCCUGCAGCCCAGCAAUAUCAGCAAUAGCAUUUCUUGAAUGUUGGAAGUAAUGGAGAAGUCAUGAAAUGGGGCAUUACCUCAGUAGUAAAUUUCUACAUUAGAAAAGCUCAGCCAUCUGUGUUUAAAAAAAAAAAAAGACAAAUAAUACCCUCAGCUGGUACAAAACCUUAAGUAUGAAAAGCUCCUCUUUUCCACCUGCCUGCAAGAGAUACUGAAUUUGAGUGAGUGUAACUAAAUUCUUCAAUCCUUGUAGGACACUUCCGUUUACAUACACAGAAUGAUUUAAGGGAGGCAGGAACCCGGAGGGAAGGGAGAAAAUCAGAGCUCCAGUUCAGUGCUUAAUAGCUGCUUUCAUCCAUUGGUUCCCUAUAAUAUCAAGUACCUCCUAUAGGCCAGACAAUAAUAAUGAGAAUAUUACCAAUACUAUAUUGAUAGAUUAAGCAUUAGCUGUAUAACAGACACUAUUUGAUCAUAUCACGUGUACGACUUUAUUUAAUUAUCCAACACUUUAUCAGGUAGAUACUAUUAAGUCCAUUUUCAUAGGUGAAGGAACCAAGGCUCAAAUAUGAUGACACAACCUUUUCACAGUCAUUCACCAAGUAAUUGCUAGAGCCAGGAGCUUGUGCUCCAAACCAGGGCUGUCUGACUCCAGACUGGAAGCUCUUACUUCUGUGCUAUAUUGCCACUACACUGCAGUGUGCAGGGCCAUGAAAAUACAAUAAAGAACAAAACGGACACCGUCCCUGCCCCGGAGCACGUAUAGUUUUAACCUAUCUGAGCUUUAGUUUCUUCUCUGCGGGCUGGGAUGAGUUAGGCACAGUGAGCCUUUGUGACUAGAUCUUUUAUAAAUCCCAGGCAAUUAAACGAAGGCUUUAAUGAAACCAGCACAUGUAAUUGGUAGAGUGAUUUCUGAACAUCUCUUGUCCUUGGGAAAUGCAUAGUAAUCUCAGAGAGUUCACUGAACUUGAGCUCGUGCACUGAAAUCUUGGGGUAAGGCACCAUCUAGGAUAAGAUAAAGACAGAAGAAUGGACUGUGUUUAUAUUCUUGGCUUAAAAAUUCUCCUUGUCAGAGGAGAGUCAGCUGUCAGAUUCAACUUACUACAGGAAACAGCAGAAAUGAAGUCUGUUUUUAUAGCUCUCUCCCCUUGGGGACCCAGGGUCUCAAGACAAGUACAUUUCCAUUUGAAGAAAUCCUUAAAUGAAUCCCACACCCCAAGGUAGGUGUUUGUUUACACUCUGCAGAUCCAGCUGCCUGGCUCCACAUCUAGGGCAAGUUAAUUCUGACACUGCCCACCUGCAGCUCUUCUAACUAAGGCACUUCAUUGUAUUUUUAAUAAUCUUUCCUUGUCAUUAACUACUUACUUCCUGUCCUCACACACGUAUUUGUGUUUAUUUUCUAGCCAGAAAUUCUAACCAUUGUGCGUGUGGUUUAAAACACAAAUCAACAAUAUAAAAUGUAACUUUGUGGUCUCCUUUUGUAUUUGGCUGUAUCUCUUCCCUUCUUGGAAAGAUACGGAAAUGGCAGCUUAAGGAAAUUAAGGCAGAGUAAGUCUCAGAUCAAGGAAAUAUGCUGAGUGGAAGAGGAUAAACCAGAUUAUAAAACAAGUUACAGUAUCCCCAAAAUAUGUGGCUGCUGCAAAAAAAGAUAAUGACCUAGAGUCUGCACCCAAGAGACAAAAUGUAUAAUUAUUUGACUCUAUGAACAAUGGCAGAGUUUAAACUUAACUGUAAGCAUCAUCAUUGAUCUUUUUUUUGCUGUAGUUUUUGGUGUUUUGUUACCCUGGCUAGUAGAAGCGUGAGCGUGGACACAAAACAAUAACUACAGUGCUUUGUUUUUCACGUAGAGGAUUUUGCCUUGGAUAUCCACGAGGUCAUGUGUGGAAGCUUCUUCAAUAAGUCGAUCUUCAAAUAUUUAUGAAGCACCUAAUGUGUGUAAGACACUGUCCUAAACAUCUGUAGAAGCUAACAGUCUAAUAGAAGGAGACAUAGAAUGUAUACUUGAAAAUAUAACUAAGGUGGGGCUCCUGGCUGGCUUAGUCAGUAGAAAGUGCAACUCUUGCUCUUGGGGUUGUAAGUUCAAGCCCCACGUUGGGUGUAGAGAUGGCUGAAAAAUUAAAAUCUUUAAUAAUAAAAAAAAGAAAAUACGACUACAGCGUUAAAGCCUUUCUCACAGAUUCUUCAUAGGGGCACUUCUUUCCAUAAACAUUUGCCCCAAGCUCAUUCUUUAGUCUCUUAGCUUUCUAAGUUAUCACAGAACUAUAAGAUGUGCAAAAUUUUCAUCAUAAAGCUUGGCAAACAGAUCAAGGAUUCUCCUCUUUAACAAAACCAAUCGAGUAGAAUUAAAAAGAAAAAAAAAGCUUUGCUACAUGGAACCAUUGAAAUAACUUCAGCUAUCUCACUGUCAAAUAUUUUUUUAAUUCUACAUUAUGAUUGAACAGUGCAGAAAAAAAGAAGAGGAGAUGGCUCUGACCUGGGAGCUAACACAAUACAUCUUUAAAAACUUCAAAGUAAAACAAUUAUCUCAGCAACAGGGAUGAUUUGGCAUUCCUUUGUUAGCCAUUUAUGUCACAUGUGUAAUACUUUGACACUAAUUUAGAAACUGGCAUUUCUAGAGUCUGGCCAUAUUGCCAGGAUAUUUCUGUCUCGAUAAUUUAUUGAUUAUAUUAUUGUAAUGAGUUGGCCAGUGACUCAGUUAUGAAGAAAUUAUAACUAAAUUUGUCUGAGAGAAGUAAUGAAGAAAACUUCAGAAUUAUUGUAUGCAUGCUUCAUAUCCCUGUCAUGUGAACGCUUACCUUUUUUGUAGCUUGAUAUCAGCUCGUGCUUUUUAAUGUGAAUUAGAAGCUGUAAUGCUUCAAUAUUAUACAGUACUUAACCACAUUGACUGGUGCUUAAAAUAUAGUAAAAAUUCUCCCCAGUGAAAAAAAAUAUAUUGAAAAUAAACCUAGAUAAGUGAAAUGUCGACUCUUGGUUACUUUCCUUUAAAAGUAGGCUUCAUGCCCAAUGUGGGGCUUGAACUCAUGGCCCUGAGAUCAAGAGUUGGCAGGCUCUGCCGACCGAGCCAGCCAUGCGCCCCGGUGUCUAGUUUUGAAAACCCCGUGACCAAUUUUGGCAAUUAUCUUUCAGUUGCCAAUAUGCUGACCUAUCAUAGACAGGUGAGAGGUAACUGUGUAAGUGACUGGAAAUCUACCAGUCUGUUCUUAAAUUAUGAGGUAAACCAUAAGGCAGCGUGUCAGGAGGUAUAACCAUGUAAGGCUCUGAGUUCAGAAUAUACAUCCCUCCCACACUAACUGCUUGUUAGGGAGGUAUUUUCACGGUCAUAAGUUCCUUUGCCACAUGUUUUGAUUGUUGUCUAUGCACGUAACACAUGUGCUAUCACUGCUGUGUCUCUUACGUGAAGCCUCCAACAUGAGUCAUCACCUCAACCUCCUGAAAUGGUUACUAUGCUAGGGAAGUUGAUUCCUUUUGUCUGUGCUUCUUUUCUUUUUUUCUUUUCUUUUCUUUUCUUUUCUCUCUUUUUUUUUUUUUUUAGUCUUCUGUUCAUGACCUCCCCCACCCCAACCUGUGCUACAGAUAGAAUAUUUGCCAAUUGCUAAGGUGUAGAAAAAUGAUGCUGGCAGUCAGUUUCUGUGCCACACCGUCGGCACUCACAGAGAACGGGCGCACUGCAUCUCCAGGAGAUCACAAUCUAGUGCAAGAUCGUGUAAGACCCUGUUUGCCAAGCUACGCCAGGUGGAUUAGAUAGUGUGAAUCACCGUGUUAUAUCAUAGUCCCUGUUCCAGUGUGAUCUUGAUGUUAUGGCUGGUUAAAUAUUAUUGAUGAAAUAAUCAUGUUCCUAAAAUAAACCACUAGCAUUCUUUAAAAAAGAUUUUCCAAAAGUAAACAGGAACUACAGAUGACAGGCUUGUCAUCAAGGCCACAAGUCUUUUCUCUUUACCAAAUUUGUUUUACUGUACUUUACAUGUCUAUCAAAUGUUUAGCAUAUUGGGAGGAAGGUAUUAAGCUGCAUAAAAUACUCCUUUCAAAAAAGAUAAAUACACAUUGUGCUCUCAUUACACUAUCUAUCUUCCAGUAACUCCAACUUGCUAGUUAUUUUGUGCAAUUAAGGUACUUGUUUUUAUGGGUUUGCUUUGUUUUAUUUGAUUCUAAGCAAUCAAGACCAUUUUAAACAGUCUUCUUACUCUAUCCUCUAGCCAUGUUGUGUGCUGUGCUGUUAACACUGCAUCGUUUUCGUAUUUGACAUACUGCUUUCCAGCAGCUAAAAUUUAAAGGAGAUCACAUUUAUUUUAAGAUAAUUAUAAAAUUAUUGUGGUGCAGCCAAGCAGCUCACUCUUCGUUUUGCUAAAGCCAAGCUUUUCUGUCCAUCAGAAUUACCCUUUUGCAUAUAUUUUGUGUAUAAUAAAAGAACAUAGGCCUUGCGAUAGUCAUUUCUGCUUUUACUUAGAUAUUCCAUGAAUGUCUGAAUAUCCUUUGCUCCCAGUAAAAGUAUCAGUACUUCAAUAAUCACUAGCAGGUUAUGAGUGGGAAUUUAAGUUAACUUCUUCUUAAAUCACACAUGUUCAUGUUUUAAGGAUAACCAUGUUUAAUCAUAGAAGUCCUCCGCAAUUAGGAGAGAAUAAAGAAUACUUUUGGCACCAGGGAAGCAGAGGCUUACACCUUGAUGUGUAUUAGUUUGGUUUCUUUGGGAGUUUGCUCAGCAGAUUCUGAACGGUGAAAUCUCAGCCAUCUCUUUGGAAGAAAGGCACAAGAAUAGCUUGAGAUGUAGACUUUGUAAAAGGAAAUUGUCUUACUCACGUUCGCGAUGACUGACGGUUUCAUUGUAGAAUGUGCCAUUUCAUUUUAUCUUCAAUCUGCAGAUUCUAAAAUGGAUUCUUUUUCUAACCCAUAAAUAAGUUAUAAUAAUUAGAGACUCAUUCGUGCAAUAAUAGUGUGGAGUCAAAUGCAUUGCCCUUAUUUCUUGGUUUCUAAAGUGUAUGCGAAAGUGUGUGGUUAGUUGUUAUUAGAAUAUGGAUUUAUAAGAGAAUGGACCCAAAAAUGUGAGAAAAAUGACAGUCACAUUUUGAGUGGUUUUCGGCCAACUUUUUGUUUCAGUUUAGAAAAUAUACAUUAAGAAGGCGCGAGUAAAUGGAUUAAUAUUCAACAGGAUGGGUGUCUUUCCUUUUCUUUAAAUAUGUGAUAGGAGGAUCUUUCGUUUGUAUCUAUUUAUUUAGUUUUUGUUGUUAACUUGCUGCCAGGAAAUUCUUCCUGAAAUUGACCCUAAAUCUCAUGUGAGUUUUAUCCAUUUUGAGCCUUGCCUUGCUUGAACCAGAGCUGGAGAAAAAAUGUUUUUCUUUUUAUUAUUACUGUGUAAUAACUUCAUGUUUUCUUACGAAAAGUUGGGACUCUACCUGAAUUAGGCUCCAUUUCUCUCUCUCCUCUGAGAGUGUUCAUCUAUGUAACCAGCGUGUUUAACUGCUUUUUUGUAAAGGUUUAUUUAUUUUGAGAGAGAGAGAAAGAAAGAACACGAGAAGGGAGGGGCAGAGAGAGAGAGAGAGGGAGAGAGAGAAUCCCAAGCAGGCUUCGUGUUGUCAAUGCAGAGCCCAACGCAGGGCUCAACCUCCUGAACCGUGAGAUCGUGUCCUGAGCUGAGAUCAACACUCGGAGGCUUAACGGACUGAGUCACCCAGGCGCCCUGGUAACCGGUGUAUUUAAAUGUUGCUAACUGAGCAAUUUUAUCUUACUAGAUCUUUCAGCAAAGUUCAACAAAGUUGGCCACUGCUUCCUCCAUACACUUUCUUCUCCUUGUUGACCAUGACCUCCUAGUUUUCUUCCUAGCUUAGUAGUAUGUCCUCAUUACCUUUUACUAGUUCUUCUAUUAGUUGAACUCCAAAUGUCAGAUUGUUUCCCAGAGCUUGGCUCUUCUUUUUAAUCUACACACUCUGCCUAGGUGAUUUCUUCCAGUUGUCUGGUGUCUUUAAGUACUGUUUUUGGGGGAGCAGAUACCUCUCAAGUCUUUCUCUCUGGUCGCAAGUCCCUCUAAAACACCAGAACCCUGUAUCUAACAGUGUCUUAGACACCUUGGCUUAGGUGGCCAGUAGGCAUCUACAAAUCGAAGGGGCCGAACGGGUGCUUUUUAGUUUUGUCCCUCCAAACGUGCGCCCCUCCCGAUCUUCCCUAUCACAUUGUACAGAACUACUAUUUGCUUGCUUGCUGAAACCAAAACCCUCUGAGUUAUCCUUGAUUAUGCUCUUUCUCUCAGUUUGAGCUGCUGCUAAUCCAUCAGGACCAUAGCUCUCCUCUUGGCAAAGCAUAUGAGAUAGUUCUUGUGAUUCAGAGUUAGAAGUUUCUCCUGACAGUGCGAACCAAUGUGGAUACCCAGUUGUUUUCCAUUCUAUCAUAUCAGUUUAAUUAUCUGAAUGGUUCUUACGUCUGUCAGAGACUUUUUCUUAUUUGUCAUCUGUGGAGUUUUUGUCUUUUUCCCUGCCCGUUGUGAGUCAUUUAAUACAAAAGUUGUUGAGUGAAUAAACGUUUGCUUGUUUGUUCAUUCAUGCAUAAACUCGUGCUGGGGGUCAUCCAUGUUCCAGGUCGUGUGCUCAGAGAUGAUUGCUUGCCCUCAGUGGGUUCACAGUUUAGUGAGGCGUGUGCCAUACAAAGAAACAAUUACAGUACACGUGUAAAGAAUGACACUGGGGAAGCUUAAAAGUGCAGAAGCAGCUUAGAAUAGGAUGCAGUUAACUCUUAAGAGCGAGCGUGGAGUUCCAGGAAUCCCAGUAGACGGAUGAUUUACUUGGGUUUUAAAAGAUGAAAUGGGAUUUUCCAGUAAAUAAUGGGAAAAGAAUAGGGAUUUCCAGAGUGAGAUACUAGCAUAGGCCAGGGCACAAUAGUAUGUGGCAUCUGGGGCAUGUCUGCAAGCAUUUGUUCUUGCCGAAGCAUGGAAUUUGCAUGGAGAAUGGAGACAACGGAGCUAGAAAGGCAGGCCAUGGGCAGAAAGGGCCUGGUUUUUCCUAUUAGGAACAUGAGACUUCAUCCUGUGGGUAAACUAAUGAAUUUCGACAGUUUUUAAGCCAGCAAGAAAUAUGUUUACAUUUUAAUUUUAGGAAGUUCUUUUUUUUUUUGUAAGUUAUAGUAUGGCAGAGUGACUUAGAGGCAAGGAGACCAGUGAGGAGGACAGAGGUGAGACAACAGAUGAAGGUUUGAAUGAGGCAAACCUGUUGGGGAAGAAGAAUAUGGAAACGGGGAAAGAAGUCAGAGGUGAAGUCUUGUAUUUGGUAGUCUGUCUGAAUGCAGAGUGGUCAGAGUGGAAAUGAAGUCUGAACAGAGGAUGACCCCAGGGUUUCUACCUCUGGAUACUACCCCUCUGGGGUAGCACUAACCAAAAACAGAGGGUACAAAAGGAGAUUGAGUGAUUGUAUAUUACAUAAAUCUAUCUAGACAUAUAGGUAUAUACCUAUUAUACCUUUAGCUCUCUAUCUAUGUAUCUGUAAACAGAGAGAGUCACUGUGCUUGGGACGCUCUUUUUUUUUUUUUUAAUGAGUUUAAGUAUUAGAUUUCUCAAGCUGGAGGAUUUACAGAAUUCCACUGCAGUGUAAAAAAAAUCAGAAUUUAUGUUCACGUCUCAAAGUCUAGUCCUAGUUUUGCCACUAGCUAAGUGUGUGAUUGUGUUACUUCUCUGCUCUCAUUUCCUCACUUCUGUCAGUCUGAUGGCAGGAUAUUAUUUCCAAGAGAAAGUUACCUUGUGACUUUAAAUCUUUUUUACUCCAACAUAUAUUCCAGAUCCUCCGUCAUUAUCCAUGCACUCAAAGGAUAAUAGAGGUCUAGGUCUUAGAAAGAGAGCAGUUGAACCAAGUCCCCACCUUUCUCAUCCUUGAUGUCUGUUGAGAAAAGAGAGGUCCACAGAGUCUGGUUUGUUGCAGUGAGUUUAUGUGGGGAUGAGCUUUGGAACCCAGAAGUCCAAAUGUCUAGUUGACCAUCUUGACCUUCUUCUCAAUGUAAUGAUCCACAUUAUCCCUAAUUCUGACUCCACUAUGGUUCUAAAAAUCCAUAUGACUUUGGACAUUUGGAAGAUACAACUCCUUCUUUGUUGAUCUGUCCCUUUUGGGAAUAGGAAUAUGGUGACGAUGGGGGCAGAGGGAGGUCCCGAGCUCUCUGUCUCUGGUCCUUCAAGGGCUUCAGCAUGACUUAGUGUAGCUCUAGUCACUUAGGGUUUGCUUGAGACAGACCCUGCCCUUUACUCCUUCCUGUGUUCAUAUUCUUUCUACUAAACUUGCUGCUAAAACCAGACCCAGAUAGAGUAAUGUGUGAUUGUUAAAGGAAGAGGGUCAACUUUAGUUCUGACAUAUAUUUGCACAUCCUGGGGUUUUAAACAAACAAAAUGAGUGUUCAUUGCUGAUUCAUGUUUUCCUUUUGGUCCCUAGAUCCUUUCUGCUGCAGUCAUGUGACAUGCACCAUGGUGACUUUCAUCCUAUAAUGCAUUCUGGGUUCUCCUAAAUCUUAAAGCACUUUAUAAAAAUAAAACCAUAGGUCUCAUUUUUCUGAUGAAGAGAGCAAGGCAUAGAGAGGUUUUACAAAGUGAUACAACAAAUAAAGGGGGAAAAAGAAUCCAGGUUCAUUUUUUUUUCUCUCCAUUAAAUGAUACUCUCUCUUAUGCUUUUCUGUUGUCAAAAGCCCUCUCUACAUUCUGUAUUGUUAGGUCAUCAUCUCCUAUAGUUUGCACAAUACGAUGUAUUAUGGAUUGCUCACAAAGCAGCAGAUAUGAAUUCUUUAUAAUGGAUUUAUUCUUUUCAAUUUUUUGUCAUCUUUGGGCUUAAUAGAAAUAGUGCAGCAUGUUAUAUUGUGUGAUCUGUUCCUAAAUAGAUAAAAGAUUUCUGUGUUUUGAAGGAAACAUUUAUAUUGGUUAAUUUGCUGCAUUGCCUGCAGGAAUGUUAGUCUGUAGGAGGAAAACAACUGUUUCCUGACAAGGUUUUCCUUAACUCUGCUAGAAACUCUUACUUUAACAGUAAAAUAAAGAGAAGUAAUCCAUAAACAAUUAAAGAAUGGUAUCUUCAGGAGUGUUUACCACCCCUCAGACAGAACAUCUAAGAUUGUGAGAUACAAAGGUGUCUUUUUUUUUUUUUUUACAUGAAGAGAGGCUCUCUCUUAAUUCCCUUCCCAGCUCAUAAGCCAUAACGCUACGGAUGCUGUGAGUGUGCAAACGUGAACCUAGAUAUUCUCUCCAUGGAUAUCAAGUUCCCUGCCUGCUCUUUGGAGAGCCACGAGUCUAACUAUAAUAGAAACAGAAUACGUGCUUUCCGUUAAGAAAUUAAGCGCCACUGUCCACAAUGUGCAAAAGACUGUGAAAUUGAAAGUGUGUCCCUGGAGUGGAUAAAAAAAAUAAUAGUAAGUGGCAACUCAAAACAGACUCCUGGCAAAUAAUCAAUUAUCUUCUGAAUUACUAUACAAAACUACAGUUCAUUUUGCCAGCCUGUUGGGGAAAGAGCUCCACACAGGAGGCGGUCAGCUUAGACUGGGGAGUUGUUUUCAAUUUACUUCCCAGGUACCUUCGUGUAAACAUCGACCGGCUGGCCGUGCUGCUGGCGUGACGCAAUGAGAGAGCGCACGUCGCCAUUGGUUGGCAGAACUGACUGCGAAAUGGCAAACACAGUCACAAGAGAAAUCUGUUGCCUGUUGCAUCUUUGUGUUCAUACUGUGACUCACAUAGCUUAAUUUUUAAACCUGGGGCAACAGUUAAACUUUCCUAAAGAUUGAAGACUGGGCGCGUCUUCGCUGGGACAGCACUAUUUUCCGAACUCGAGCGGAAUCUGUUUGGCCUCCAGAUGGAUUUAGAGCUUGGCUGCAGCCUAGGAAAACAGCAGGGGGAAUGAUGUUUUACUACUGGCUGCUCAUAUAGAUGAAAUGGGUAGAAAUUUAGACUGUUUGGGAAGGAUGCUGUGGUUAAUAAAUGGGGCGGGGGGAGUGCCAAGGGCUGUCUGGCUGAGGUUUCGUGUUGGUACAAUUUUAAGUGAACCGUAAAGUGUAUGCAUUCGUGUUUAAUAAACAAGAGACAUUUCUGAUGACUUUCCAGACACGUAGGCCCAUGGAAACAUGUGAAAGUAUUCAGCAUUUCUGUAAGUGAAGAAGAGCCUCACAGAUGAAGCAGUUUUGGCUCCGAGCCGAGAGAGAGACCAUACAGGAGGGAAAUACGGCAGCAGAAGGAUCUUCAGUUCUCCUUGCUCUUGUUUACUUUUCAUUUUUUAAAUGUUUAUCUAUUUUGAGAGCGAGAAAGAAAGCGCGGUUGGCGGAGGGGCAGAGAGAGAGAGAGAGAGAGAGAGAGUCCCCCCACUGAUAACGCAGAGCUCGUCACAGGGCGUGAUCCCACAAACCCGUAAGAUUAUGACCUGAACCAAAAUCAAGAGGUGCCCUGCCCUUGUUUACUUUUUAAAAUGGGAAGAGGCCUUACCAUUUUCAAAAUCUUGCCAGAGUUUAAGUUCCCUGAAUAUAGAGUACAGGAGGGACGCCCGGGUGCCUCAGUCGGUUAAGCACCGACUUCAGCUCAGGUCAUGACCUCAUGGCUCAUGAGUUCAAGCCCCGCGUCAGGCUCUGUGCUGACAGCUCAGAACCUGGAGUCUGCUUCGGAUUCUGUGUCUCCUUUUCUCUCUGCACUUCCCCCACUCAUGCCCUCUCUUUCUCUCUCUCAAAAAUAAAAUAACAUUUGAAAAAUACAGAAUACAGGACAUCCACUCCUUAAUAAAACCGACUUCCCUGCCCAAGACAGUCAGUCCUGACUAUACUCAGCCUGUCCCCUGCCAUACACAGGUACACAUACACAUGCAUGUAAUCGCACCCAUUUACAGAUGAGAACACAGAUGCUAACUGACCAACAAGGACAGAGGAUUAAUACAUGUCAGUACUGGUGUUUAUCAAGUCAUACUUAGACAUUAUACAUACGAUCUCUGUUACAGCUCGUAAGUCACUUGUCUGGUGGCCACAGGAUAAACUCUCUUUUUUACUGACAUCUGAAAUCAGAACCGUUCUUCAACAGCUUGCUAAUUUACUCUUCCAUAAUAUACUUAUUCUUUACUAUUCUCCAGCCAUUCUUUAAAAACACAUUUUUAAGAGGCACCUGGGUGGCUCAGUCAGUUAAGCUUCUAACUUCAGCCCAGGUCAUGAUCUUGCAGUUCAUGGGUGGGAGCCCCGCGUCGGGCUCUGUGCUGACAGCUCGGAGCCUGGACCUGCUUCGUAUUUGUGUCUCUGUCUCUGUGCCUCGACCCUUCUCUCUGUCUCUCUCUCUCUCUGUCUGUCUCUCUCUCAAAAACAAGUAAACAUUAAAAAAAAAUUAAAAACGGGCGCCUUGGUGGCUCAGUCGGUUAAGCGUCCAACUUCAGCUCAGGUCAUGAUCUCACAGUUGGUGAGUUCGAGCCCAGCAUUGGACUCUGUGCUGAUAGCUUGGAGCCUGAAACCUGCUUUGGAUUCUGUGUUUCCCUCUCUCUCUCUGCCCUUCCUCUGCCUGUGUGCUCUCUCGCUCUCUCUCUCAAAAAUAAACAUUUUUUAAAAUUAAAACCAAUCAAAUAUAUGUUUAAGUAGUUAAUACAUAUACGUGGUUGAAGAAGAAGAAGAGGAAAAUGAAGAUUUAGAAGAUGAAGACAACAGUGGCCAACAGCACAAAGGAAUAUACAGUGAAAAUAUGUCUGUGUCCUUCCCUGCUCUGUGGUACCCCACCUCAGGGGUAUCCCCUUCCCCAGGGUCUUAGGUAUUCUUUCCAAGUUUAAGACUCCUUAUAUAUACAGACAUUUAUGUAUAUCCUCCUCUACUUUCCUGGUUUGUAGAGAUGGUAGCACACAGCACACAGUUGAUCUCAUUGCUUAUUUUCACUCCGGCUACUAGCAAAAUCUCAGACUAGUUGGGUCGGCCGAGUCCACCAGAGGUGCAAUUAUUUGCUGUGUUACAGUAGGAGAGGUGACAUGAAAUUAAGUCUUGACUUGGCUCUUUCUCAUCUUGUAAAGGACAGAAUAGCCUCUCUUUGUAUCUUGCAGGCAUUAUUAAUUGAUAUGUUGUCAGCACUUCCAUAAAUAUUUCUAUGCUGUAGUGAUUUUUCUCAUUGAAAUGUAUGCUGUGACAAUUCAGCACAUUUCUCCACCUAUUAGAUCAGACAGCAUCAGUGAGAAGAGAGUGAAACAACUCUUACUAGGUACAUCAAUUCUUUCAUGCCUAAAUUACAGGACACCGCAUUGACUACUAUUAUUAAAGUUUGGAAUAAUACAGCACUACAGAACCAUUGAGGCUACCCAGAGCACUUGAGAGAACUGAUAAAUCUCUAAAGAGGGAGUUGACUCUUUUUCUACAAUAAGAUCAAAAUCGUGAGAAGUCAUUUUUCACUUAAUCAUCCACUAUUACAGAAUAUUAGAAUAUUCUGCCCCCGUUUCAUAAUUUUCUUGCUUAUUGGUACAUCAACAAUGGACUUAAUGAGUUCUGAAGCCUAUUUUUCUUAUCUUGGUGUUUUGAUAAUACGACUGACUUGGGGUCUUCGUACUCUGCACAGCUGUCAGGCAUACCGGAUGUUUCAUUGACAAUCUCUGCGAAUUUAGGGGAUUCUUGCUACCCAACGAAUGAAAGCAAUCUACCAAUGUAAGGAAUGCUUUUAAAAAGUUAGUCUAUGCUUUUUUGCUCUUUUAGAAACCACGUGAUUUCUACCUGCUCAUAGAUUGACCAAAAUAUUUCCGACCACUUAAUGCCACUCUGGGGCUAAUUCAAAAAAAUGAGUUUACAUUAGAUUAGAUAUAGGGGUUCAUUCAACAUCUGGUGAAAACCUGGGUGCACUCUGAUGCUCCUUGAAGGCUCUGUUUGCCCAAGAGUUUCUGGAUCAUAUCUUCUGAUUCAGAAGAGUAUCUAGUUUAAUUUUGCAUGUAUAAAUGCAUUGGCAAUGCACUUAGAGAAUGCUUUGGAUUCCCAAGGACAGCAUUUUCUAGAAAUUUAGAUUGGCAAUUGGAGUUAAUAUGUUAGUUCAACUCAAAUUGUUGCAUACAUGGUAGCUAUGGCAGGAGAACAGGGGAUCUUCCAGGGCGUCUUUCCCUAAAUAUUUCUGCUUCAGUUUGUUCUGUUCUGAUUUGCACCAUCUUGGGUCUCAAAUUGUGUCCAUUUUAAAAGCUAAUUUGGGUUUUUGAACAAAUGUGUUGCACUUAUUUAUCAUUCCUUUUCUAGAUUUCUAUUUUGCAUAAUUACCAUAGAAUGUGUGGAUAUUUCGUAGAGAAAGAAGAUAUUUAUGAACUCGGUCCCGUACAGGGGAGGAUUCAUUCGUGAGUAUAGGUGGUGUGGUUGCUUUGACCCCUUUCUGGCUGGGAAACGAUUUGUUGGAUGAACAUUCAAGAACGCUCACAGAAUAAUGUCAUCGAGGCAUGAAAGAAUUGAUGCAUCUAAGUAAGAGUUGCGUCACUCUCUUCUCACUAAUUACAUGUAAGGGCAGGCGCAAGAAAGAAAGGGAAGAUGUUUCCAGGAAGGGCUGGUAAUAUCUUCAGCGUGCCUCUGGGCCCUUGAGGCCAGACCCUUGGAAUUUGCCACAGCCUAGGUCCUAUCACUCAGUCCCACUCUAGAGACAAACAUCCCCCAAAUGGCCCUCCGUGAUGCCUACAGGGUUCUACUUUUUAAGGAAGAAUUUAUGUACCACCAGCAAUGGGUUCCAAAGAUGACCCUAGUAACCUCUGUUUUCCAAAGGACAAAUUACUCCUCCCAAGAAAGAGAGUACUAGGAUUUUUUUAUGUAUUUAUUUUGUUUAUUUAUUUAUUUUUAUUUUUCUUAAUAUGAAAUUUAUUGUCAAAUUGGUUUCCGUACAACACCCAGUGCUCAUCCCAACAGGUGCCCUCCUCAAUACCCAUCACACACCCUUCCCUCCCUCCCACCCCCCUUUAUGUAUUUAUUUUUUAAAGGUCCUGAUGAUGAUGGCUUUCUAGUCCUUCGCUCUUUUCUUUAGUAGCUACUCGAGCUCAUUUCCUCUCAGGUAACACCUGGAAUAGGAAAAUAGUAUUGUUACUCCCCGGUUGUACGUUUAUUUUCAACCUGGGGAAAUGAGCUCCAACUACAGUUUUCACUUCAUUCUUUAGCUUCCAAGGCACAAAAUUGUUAUACAUGUCUAUAGUUUUCAAAAUGUCAAGUUGAGUACAUUGUGUACUAUACAUUCCAUUACAUAUUUGUGAAAUCUUUGUAUUGAAGUAGAAAUAAUUCUCCUUAUUUGCUACACUACUUGGCCUGACCUCCUAAAAAUGCGUAAUGGGGAAUGGCACCUUCCUCUUGCCACCGUCGUCUGGCCAAGUGGAAGAACUCGUGGCUGGUUACAUAUAGGUUUCUCUUCAUUGCACUAGUCUUCUGCCUUGUCUUAUGUAACUACCAUAGAAUUCUUCUUGAAUUUUCAGCUUUGCUCAGAUAACUUUGGAAGAAUGCCAUCUAAACACACACACACACACACACACACACACACACACACACACACCCAUCUGUCAGACAUCCUGAUCCUUAACAUACCCCAACAUCACACAAGGAUAUGUCUCUUCUGACACAUUCUAUGCAUUUUAUGCUGAAAUAUUCCAUUGGAAUUAUCAAUGUUUAUGCUUUCAGGCUAGUCAUUUAUCAUUACAGACCUGUUGUAUCAUCCCUGCUAAUUAAAUUUGUUAAGAGUGGGGAGGAUUCCUAAAACAGAAUUCUAUGAUGGCUUCAAAUUGAGCUGAAUAAAAGUCAGUGGGGAUUAGGGGAAGGUGGUCUUGACAUCGAAAUAGCAUUAGGUUUCAUAUCUUCAUUGGAAAUAUUUCUUUUUUGGAACUCUUCCUUCAUCAUUAUAAGAAAUGAGAUCUGCCUUGACAUUCAUUUGUGUGUGUGUGUGUGUGUGUGUGUGUGUGUGUGUGUGCGCGUGUGUGUGUGUGUGUGUGUUUCCUCCUAGAGUGGGGUCUAGUAAAACUAGAUUCUUUGGGUGAUAGAAGAAAAGUACAGAUUUCUUAAUGUUCAUUUUCAGUCAACUGGACUUUUAAAGGUGGCCUUCUUUAUGUUUUCCAUUUACAGUAUAUACCUGCUUAUCCAUAUGCCUUCAGAUCAAUAAAAGAGUAGAUAUUUAAAAGUAUCUGUGGCAGCCAACAGCUGGAAUCAUGCCAGGCAUCUUUACAUUUUAAAUUCUUCCUGGGCUCUAGAGGUAGGUGAGGCCAACUUUCCUUUUGACUCAGCAGGCAAGUUUUACUAUGAUAAGAGUAUUGCUAUUUUAAAAAGCAGCUCUUGACAAUCUAACUCCAGAAAGCAUUCCCACCCUGUGAAAUAGUACAGAGGCACCUGCUUCCUUAUUGAUGAAACACUGGAAAAUAAUGCCUGUUAGAAGCAAUUUUAAUCAUUUGGUAGCUCAGCUUCUGACUCCUCAGUAGGUUUCUAACCCAACUGCCAUGCCAGAUCGACUGUCCCAGUUUUUCUGAUUGGGCAGGCAGAAGCAAUCUAAUCAUCUCAGGCUUGGCACACAACAGAAAUUUGGCUUGAUGAACCCCUUGAGAGUGGGUCUGACUUGGCUGAAUUCAUUCUAAGCAUAAGUCUAGCCUUCCGGGUUUUAUGGGCUACCUUCCUAUUUUUUCUCACGGCUUCAUCAUAACCAAAGCUCCACUUCUAAUCUAGUUCUGAUUUAGAAUGACAUGUCACAGUGCUUUCCCUAAAACUUCUGGAUACUUAGAAUUCUUGAUCUCCAGUAAACAGUAUCAGGUGAUCAUCAGCGUCAAGAAAAAAUUUAUCUCUGUAUAUCUCUAAGGGUAAGAGACAGCAAUCAAUGUAAUAUUGAUUAAUUAAUAAUCUUACAGAUUUAUUUAUUUUGAACAUGAAUAAUCUUGGGGAGAUACAUUUCGUUGCUAACACUAGUUACUUAUCUGAUUAUUUGCAAAAGGAAAAUCACUUAUCCUAAUCUGAGUCAUUUGAUCCAAAACAGUAUUCUUAACCUUGAUCGAAUUUGACCUUUUUGAAAGAGUUGUUAUAAAAGGUUUUGAAGAAGCAAUGAAAGUCUCCCUAGCUCAGGUCACUUACUCUGUAAGUACUCCAGGAUAUUAGUGGAACCUGAAAUGUCUCUGCUGCCUGUAGUGUAUAAGGAAGGAAUUAACUUUGCAACUGCAGAUCUCAGUGUGUGUGUGUGUGUGUGUGUGUGUGUGUGUGUGUGUUGCAGUGUAUGUUUCAUUACAAGAGGCAUUAUAAACAUUAGAGCUUGAAACACAUAUUUCUCUCUGAGAAACAAAGCCAUAUAUGUGGGGGGAAAAGAUAGCGUCAGCCUCAAGGGUCUGGAAUGUAUCAGAUUUUCCAAUAUAAUGUAUCAAAAUCAAUGUAUCGGUCAUGAAUUAUAAAAAUGUGAUUACCCUUUCAGUGGGGAGGAUAUGGUUAGUGACAAAAGUGGUAGCAUAAUUUGAUGGUGGAGGUUAGGAACAUGGAAGGAGGGUGAUAGGUAUGAUGUUUCCAAACUGUGUGUACUGUAUUUUCAGGGUCAGCUGAAAACAUAUCAUAGGCUAUAAAGCUAUUGCCAUCUUUUUUUGUUACACCUGGUAGUAUAUUAUCUAAUAAUUAAUUGUGAUCUUGUUUCCAACAUUGGAGUAUGAGGUCCUUAAAGCUAUUUUAUUUCUAUAUCUCUGGAUCUGUCGAAGAAUGAUACUUCAUACAUACAGGGUUUGUUAAAGAAACAUCUAGGAGCCAUUUGGGCCACCAGCUGUAUCUAGGUCAUUAUCUGCCAAGUGUUGGCUACUUUAAUUUGAAAAAGGUCAUGGCCUGAGAUACCAUAUUUUCUAAUUGAAAACCAGGUCUUAGAGAAGAAUAAAAAGUCUCUUGAAUAGUCACUGUGUGUGUGUGUAAAUAUAUACAUAUAUUUUUACCAGACAAACACAGCAUGUUUUAGCAUAAAAUCUUAUGAUAACAGAGCUGGUAAAGCUCACCUUGGAAGGCCCAUGUCCAGCUUCUAAUCUCAAGCAGCAGCGUCCUCUACAAUUUCUCAGUCUCCUGAUUGAGCCUUUCUGUUUUGGAAAUUGAUAAAAUAUGCCCACUUCGCCCUUUUCGUUACAUUUUUUUAGGUAAGAUGAUUAAAUGUGGGAGCGUAUGAAGAAAAACGGGGCCCGAGAUUCGCACAUAAUGGAGGUCUGCUCCCUUGUAUUUCCCUUCUCUUUACAAAGCAAUCCUAACCCAUUUCAUGAUGACGCACUUGGUUCUGAGUAGUUACAUACAUUCACAUUAAUAAGAUUGAAAGUGGGACAAAGUCCCAAUACUCUAAACAAAUAAUUGCAUAGAAUCCAACAUUAGUGCUCUUGAGGAUGAGUGAAAUCCUGAUUGUCACCAGGUUUGCCAAUAAUGUGUGUUCUCUUAACCUGAUCAGUGCUAAGUACUGUACCAAAAUUCAAGCCAAAUAACGUGAGGCUCUUGGCUGUAAACAAUUACAAUUUUACAGGCACUUUUGAUCAUUCUGAUACACUCUGCAUUCAAACACAAAUGAUUAUACAGUACAUUAGAUGUUGUGCAACAUCCUGCCCAGGAUUCAGUAAUACGAUCUCUAUGAUAGUUCCAGAAAUGGAAUGAAAUCAGAGAGAGGAAGUGGAAAAAGAACAACAGUUAAUGAAAUUAAAGGGGAAAGCUCCUUUUUUCAAUCCUGAAGAUUAUUACUAGGUCAAGACUCUCACCUAUUCAAAAUGAGACCUGUGGACACACUAGUUUUCAGAUUCUUUUUAUAUUCAUAUUGGCCCUUUGUUCCAGUUUAGCAAGACACCUAUUCACAUUUAAGUCCACAAGCAUAGACUGUUCAGGUAAUAUUCAACAUAGACCUUAAAAACAUCCUGUUGCCUGUCUGUGAUUUUUGGAACAAAGGAAAAAGAAAAAAAGUGUCUGAAGUGUCUGUAAAAAUGUUCCUAAAAUAGUAAAAAAAGAAAAAAGAAAGAGAGAGAGAGAAGGAAAAAAAAACACCUGCAAUUAAAAAGAAAAAACGGGGAGGGGGAUGCCUGGGUGGCUCAGUUGGUUAAGCAUCAGACUUCAGCUCAGGUCAUGAUCUUGGGGUUCAUGAGUUCAAGCCCCGUGUCGGGCUCUGUGCUGACAGCUCGGAACCUGGUGCCUGCUUCAGAUUCUGUGUCUCCUUCUCUCUCUGCCCCUCCCCCACUCAUGCUCUGUCUCUCUCUGUCAAAAAUAAAUAAACAUUAAAAAAAAAAAGAAAAAGAAAAACCUCCUGGAAAGUAAACUUCUGUUGCAUAAAAUCCAUUUUUCAUUUUGUACUGGCUUCCGUUAUGGACCGAGAUUCAUUGGUAAGAGAAAGGGAUUGCUCUGAAUACACUAAGGUUACAUAAAUAUUUUAAAAUUGUGUACUUAGAUAACUUUCUGAUAUAAAACAUUAGCAAUGAAAUUUUAAAAUAUUAAUACUAAUGUCUUAAGGUAAUCAAUACAUCACAAAAUACACUGAAACCAUAAUUUGGUCCUGGAAAAAUUGAUAGUAUGAUUGCCACCCAAUUUUAUCCAUUCUGGAAGUAGUGAUAUAGGAAGCUUUAAAUAAAACUUCAUUUUUUUUUCAAUUUUCCCUUAUUGAUAAAGCCUUUUUGUUGUCUUGUAGCAACUUUAUAAUAUAUUUUAAUAGGAGGAAAUAGUACAUAACGCUCAAAAACUAGACCGAAUAUUUAACAAGGCUAGGGGCUGUGCUUAUUUUUGUUUACCACUGCAUUUUUAGUGCCUAGUACAGGGCCUGGAAUGCGAUAGAAAUAGU